rnacentral:sRNA from 1 species
GCUAUUUAAAAUCAAAAUGUCUAGAAAAGCAGAUUUCUGUGUUUAAUUUCAUGGACUAUACUGACUAUACUAUACAUGACUAAGAAAGUUCUUUAGAAGAAUAAGUGGGCAUGUCUUGAGUUGGAAGAUUUUAUCCCAUCAAUACAAGUCCUACGAACAAAGUCGACGCGCGAUCGAUUAAUAAAGUUCUUAUUGACCUGAUCAUUUUUAAGUAGGCCAGUCAGACGUGACUCACUUGGUUUCGUGUGUAUGUGUUAUCAUUUACUGUCUUGAUCAUAGCUAUUGAUUAUUUACACACUUUUGUAGCGGGCGGACACACACACACACACUAUUUCUUGGGACUGUUUUGUGAGCUGGUUCUGAUGCAAACACUUAAAUAUUUUUGGAUGUCUUGAGGGAUAUGCCAGUACCAUAGAACCCAGUCUCUUUGGAUGCUUCCCCCUUAGCAGAGUCAACGACCCUGGUGAUGUGAAAGUUGAUUGCAACUUUUCCAUAAGUUCAACCUUACAUCUCUCUUCUCGGAAACUUGAAAAACUUAGACGUCGAAGGUGCUUUUUGAUUAAAGAAACGAAACCGGUAUUGUAGAUAGCAAGUGUUGGUUCUAUUGUUGAGUAAAUCUCUCGCCAUGACGCCGAGAUGAUUGUCAGUUCAAUUUGCAUUCCUUUGAGUUAGAGCGUGUUUGUGUAAACAUACAUUUCUUAGCCAUGUUAAGGAGGAUGGCUUAGACAGGGCGAGACAAACAGGUUCGUGCUAUGCUGUUUGUGUGUGUUUUUCUAAUACAUUUGAUCGUGACAAGCUGAAGAUGGUGUGAUCUAUUUCUGGAAUUGGAUAAAACUUCUGAGAAUCAACUAUUUCAAAGAAGGCAUCGCCGAGAAUAAUACUGUCAUGGCGUCUUUUAAGCCGGAAGUGGUUUCCAACGAGCAGUCUGACGAUGAUGAUAUCCGCGGGGACGGCAAGAAAAGAAAGUUCAAGCCCCUGUCCGCUGUCCGGCGGUUUUUCCGGCCGAAGAA